UACGUAGGGUGCAAGCGUUGUCCGGAAUUAUUGGGCGUAAAGAGCUCGUAGGCGGUCUGUCACGUCUGCUGUGAAAACUCGGGGCUUAACCCCGGGCCUGCAGUGGGUACGGGCAGACUAGAGUUCGGUAGGGGAGACUGGAAUUCCUGGUGUAGCGGUGAAAUGCGCAGAUAUCAGGAGGAACACCAAUGGCGAAGGCAGCUCGCUGGGACGUGACUGACGCUGAGACGCGAAAGCGUGGGGAGCAAACAGG
rnacentral:rRNA from 1 species